AGUGAACGCUGGCGGUAGGCCUAACACAUGCAAGUCGAACGGCAGCACAGUAAGAGCUUGCUCUUACGGGUGGCGAGUGGCGGACGGGUGAGGAAUACAUCGGAAUCUACUUUUUCGUGGGGGAUAACGUAGGGAAACUUACGCUAAUACCGCAUACGACCUACGGGUGAAAGUAGGGGAUCUUCGGACCUUGCGCGAUUGAAUGAGCCGAUGUCGGAUUAGCUAGUUGGCGGGGUAAAGGCCCACCAAGGCGACGAUCCGUAGCUGGUCUGAGAGGAUGAUCAGCCACACCGGAACUGAGACACGGUCCAGACUCCUACGGGAGGCAGCAGUGGGGAAUAUUGGACAAUGGGCGCAAGCCUGAUCCAGCCAUACCGCGUGGGUGAAGAAGGCCUUCGGGUUGUAAAGCCCUUUUGUUGGGAAAGAAAAGCAGCAGGUUAAUACCCCGCUGUUCUGACGGUACCCAAAGAAUAAGCACCGGCUAACUUCGUG
rnacentral:rRNA from 1 species